UACGGGGGGGGCAAGCGUUGUUCGGAAUUACUGGGCGUAAAGGGCUCGUAGGCGGCCAGCUACGUCAGACGUGAAAUCCCUCGGCUCAACCGGGGAACUGCGUCUGAUACUGGAUGGCUUGAGUGUGGGAGAGGGAUGCGGAAUUCCAGGUGUAGCGGUGAAAUGCGUAGAUAUCUGGAGGAACACCGGUGGCGAAGGCGGCAUCCUGGACCACGACUGACGCUGAGGAGCGAAAGCCAGGGGAGCAAACGGG
rnacentral:rRNA from 1 species